rnacentral:misc_RNA from 1 species
GAACGCACAUUGCGCCCUUCGGUAUUCCGUUGGGCAUGCCUGUUCGAGCGUCAUUUAAACCUUCAAGCUCUGCUUGGUGUUGGGUGUUUGUUCCGCCUCUGUGCGUGGACUCACCUUAAAUUCAUUGGCAGCCGGUAUAUUGGCUUCGUGCGCAGCACAUUGCAAACGAUUCUAACGUAUCCCCUUCCAUUAAGCCUCUUUUUUACUUUGACCUCGGAUCAGGUAGGGAUACCCGCUGAACUUAAG